UCCAGCUGCGGGUUUUUGUCUCUGAUCAGUGGACUGAGAGAAAGCGGUUUGCCUCGCGCCCCACGCAGCUCCUCCAGCUCUCGCUGUGCAGCCGUCUCUGUGAGCGUCUCCCUCUUAUUGGCAGCAGCUGCAGCAGAGAACUGUGAGGCCGAGACAGCCACACCCUCUGCCCCCCCGGCCUGUUACUGCGUCACACAGAAACCAGUCAAAGCUGUGGUGUUAUUGAAGCAGGUGGAGCAGGUGCAGAGAAUUCCAAUUCCAGCGGUGUCAGUGACCGCAGGUGUAACGUCUUUUCAGUGGCACGAGGACACUCGUAUCUGCGGAUAUCUGAUAGCGAGCCUUUCUGAUCAGCUGAGCAGCGGCAGAGAGGAAAACCUGCAGACUGAAGUUUGAUUUAUAAUCCAGCUACUUAACAGACUGAAGAGGAACUCUUCAUAAAAAUGGCCUCAAGGCAAAGAAGGAGCACAGAGCUGCCUCUUGAACUGUCUGAAAUAAUUGACAAACUUAUCAAACAUGCAGAUUCAUUCAUCAAAGACUUUGACAACAGUGAACACAAGAUGAGAGAGAUUGUAGGAGAGAUUCAGAAGAUCACUGCUGAAGUAGAACAGAUGCAGAAGGAAACGGAUGCAGUCAGAACAACAGCAGUUGUUCCUGGAGGAGUUGGACUUGGACUUUUGAUCCUUGCAGCUCUCUUCACUGGGGGGCUGAGCUUAUUAGCAGGAGCAGCUGCCAGAGGACCAGCAGAAGCAGCAGUAGUAGUAGGAUUAGCAGCAUUAACAGCAGUAGCAGCAGUAGCAGUAGCAAUAAGAGCAGCAUUACAAGGAGCAGGAGCAGCAGUAGCAGAAGGAGCA